GACGGAAGGUGCAAGCGUUGCUCGGAAUCACUGGGCGUAAAGGGUGCGUAGGCUGCCGCGCAAGUCUGGCGUGAAAGCCCCGGGCUCAGCCCGGGAAGGGCGCUCGAAACGGCGCGGCUCGAGUGCCGGAGGGGAGAGUGGAAUUCCUGGUGUAGCGGUGAAAUGCGUAGAUAUCAGGAGGAAGACCAGUGGCGAAGGCGGGUCUCUGGACAGUUCCUGACACUGAGACACGAAGGCCAGGGGAGCAAACGGG
rnacentral:rRNA from 1 species